GCACCUGAAAUCAUUAGGUUUCUUUCAGAGAGCUCAUG
rnacentral:sRNA from 1 species